rnacentral:rRNA from 12 species
UUAAAGAAAGCGUAAUAGCUCACUAGUCGAGUCGGCCCGCGCGGAAGAUGUAACGGGGCUAAGCGAUGUACCGAAGCUGCGGGUGCAUAGCAAUAUGCGCGGUAGAGGAGCGUUCCGUAAGCCUGCGAAGGUGACUCGUAAGGGUUGCUGGAGGUAUCGGAAGUGCGAAUGCUGACAUGAGUAACGAUAAUGCAGGUGAAAAACCUGCACGCCGUAAGCCCAAGGUUUCCUGCGCAACGAUUUUCGGCGCAGGGUAAGUCGGAUCCUAAGGCGAGGCCGAAAGGCGUAGUCGAUGGCAAACAGGAUAAUAUUCC